CAGAUCCCUGCUUAGGGCCCUUUGUGGAUGCAGCAGAGGAAACCGGCUCACAGGACCUGCCUUCUUAGGCCGAGAAGAGGGAGCUGGGCCAGAAGAGGCCCUUCUCAGGGUGCCCUGAGAGUGAGCAGACAUGUGUCCAGCCUUCACUGUCCAUUCCUGCUGAAGGGGACAGCCACAGCCUGCUGCUGCUCAAGGCCUCCACGGUGCUGCAGGGCCAGCUAUCUCAGGACCCUGGAUUCCUGGAAUUGUCUGACAGAGUGGAAGUCUGUUCUCCAUCCCCUGACAAGCCGCACACUCCAAAACAGGUUAUUUCGGUCACCCCAGCCACUGGUUCUCUGGCCUGACAUGUGUCUAAAUUAAAUUGCUUUUAAAUACCCAUGCCACCGGGCUAA
rnacentral:lncRNA from 1 species